rnacentral:lncRNA from 1 species
GCUCCAUUGAUUGCUUGAGAUUUUGAAGCAUACAUUAAAAAUAACGUACUAAGCAUCUAUAUUUUUAGUUAGAUUAAAUACAUAUUAUAGAAUUUCAGUUUCCACCCAUUGACCAUCAAUCCAAUCUUUUAUUCUUUAGUACCCAUAAUAAUAUAUAAAAGUGCUUUUGAAUCAAAUUCCCAUCACAAGGAUCAAUGCUAUGAAACAGUUUUUCAUUUCUUAAAUAUGAUGAGUGUAACCACUUUCAAUCUGUGAUGUACAGAGAUGGAGUUGACAUCAGUGAGUCAGUCUUCCACUCAACUCCGACUUGCUUUUGACAGUUGUCUGAAAACGUCAAGUGGCAUGUCCAUCUUCCGAUUUGUUUUUCAGGAGCCGAACAUGUGCCGAUUCACCGUGACACGGCGUGGUGUAAAGUUCGACUUGCUAAAACAUUAAAAAUAACAAAGAAGAAAAACGAAAAUGGAGGAGAAGCAAGUAGCGUAACCUUGAACUCCAUUUUUGCAUGUUUAGUGUCGUGCUGAUGACAGUGGCGGAUUCAAGUAGUGGCGAGCUAGGGCGGCCCCCCUAACUGGAUCCGCCGGAGUCUUCAAUAGCCGUCGGGACCGCCGAAUUGGAGUUGCAGUCUCCAAGUAUUUCUGGGUGCUGUUACUACUGUAUCUACAUAAAAUGAACAGACAUGUAUAAAUACACAAAACACACAAAGAGAAAACUCACCAUUUUUUAUUUUCUUGGGCUUGUUGAUGGGUAGCAGAUCCUUGCCAUUAGAGGAAUUGAAGUCCCAGAACUCAAAAAUUGUAUCAAAUUAAGCCCAUAAUAAUUCCGUGGUUAAUUUUCCUCUCUUAUUGAUGAUGGGUUCAGGAAAUAAUUGCAUUUUGUGUGUGUGUUCAGUUCUUGAGAUUUGAGAAGAUGAUAGAUACAGAAAGAAAUGUGUAUGACAGUCUGAGUAGGUUGCUGUGAGAGAGAGAGAGAGAGAGAGAGAGAGGAUGUGGCUUUUCUU